rnacentral:rRNA from 1 species
CCUACGGGAGGCAGCAGUGGGGAAUAUUGGGCAAUGGAGGCAACUCUGACCCAGCAACGCCGCGUGAAUGAUGAAGGUCUUCGGAUUGUAAAGUUCUUUUCUAAGGGAAGAAGAUAGUGACGGUACCUUAGGAAUAAGCCACGGCUAACUACGUGCCAGCAGCCGCGGUAAUACGUAGGCGGCAAGCGUUGACCGGAUUUACUGGGUGUAAAGGGCGUGUAGCCGGGCUGACAAGUCAGAUGUGAAAUUCCGGGGCUCAACCCCGGACCUGCAUUUGAAACUGUUGGUCUUGAGUGUCGGAGAGGCAGGCGGAAUUCCUAGUGUAGCGGUGAAAUGCGUAGAUAUUAGGAGGAACACCAGUGGCGAAGGCGGCCUGCUGGACGACAACUGACGGUGAGGCGCGAAAGCGUGGGGAGCAAACAGGAUUAGAUACCCCAGUAGUC